CAUGCAAGUCGAGGGGCAGCAUGAUUGUAGCAAUACAAUUGAUGGCGACCGGCAAACGGGUGCGGAACACGUACACAACCUUCCAGUAAGUGGGGAAUAGCCCAGAGAAAUUUGGAUUAAUACCCCGUAACGUAACGAUGUGGCAUCACAUUGUUAUUAUAGAUUUUUCGCUUAUUGAUGGGUGUGCGGCUGAUUAGAUAGUUGGUGAGGUAAUGGCUCACCAAGACUACGAUCAUUAGCUGGUCUGAGAGGAUGAUCAGCCAGACUGGGACUGAGAACGGCCCAGACUCCUACGGGAGGCAGCAGUAGGGAAUUUUCCACAAUGGGCGAAAGCCUGAUGGAGCAACGCCGCGUGCAGGAUGAAUGCUUUCGAGUUGUAAACUGCUUUUAUCUGUGACGAUUAUGACGGUAGCAGAUGAAUAAGGAUCGGCUAACUCCGUGCCAGCCGCCGCAGUAAUAC
rnacentral:rRNA from 1 species